CAACUUGAGAGUUUGAUCCUGGCUCAGAGCGAACGCUGGCGGCAGGCUUAACACAUGCAAGUCGAGCGCCCCGCAAGGGGAGCGGCAGACGGGUGAGUAACGCGUGGGAACGUACCUUUUGGUUCGGAACAACACAGGGAAACUUGUGCUAAUACCGGAUAAGCCCUUACGGGGAAAGAUUUAUCGCCGAAAGAUCGGCCCGCGUCUGAUUAGCUUGUUGGUGAGGUAACGGCUCACCAAGGCGACGAUCAGUAGCUGGUCUGAGAGGAUGAUCAGCCACAUUGGGACUGAGACACGGCCCAAACUCCUACGGGAGGCAGCAGUGGGGAAUAUUGGACAAUGGGCG
rnacentral:rRNA from 1 species